UCUGCAGUCGACAAAGAGCUUGCUCUCGUGAACUCCCUCCCCCUCGCCCUCCUGCUCGGUGCUCGCCCCAUAGCCACAAGCCACACUUGCUCCCAUUCUUCCACCCCCACCCCAACUCCCACCAGGCGAGGCGAAGGAGAGCGACGACGAGGAGAGAACAACGGUCCGUGGGCAGCCAUGAGACGCGGGACGAGGGCUCUCUACGCGCUGGCGCUGGCACUGCUCUGCGUGUCCGCGCACUUCCAGGGCGCCUCCUCCAUCGGCGGCGGCUUCGGCAGGGCCAGGGAAGGAGGUGUUGGCGCGAGGGGCGGGAGCUUCGGAAGCGGAGGAGGCGGCGGCGUGAGGGGAGGAGGCGGCGGCACGGCGGAGGAAGCCUGCGGUGGCGCUGCGGGCGCCGGCGCGAGAAUGACCGCCGCUGCCGCGGGAGCAGCGAGCGGCAGCGGGCGCCGCAGCGCUGCGGUCGGCGCGAGUGAGCGUGGCGUGUGGAGGGCUGCUGGCGCCGGCGCGGCCCUCGACACCGCGCUCGUCGCCUGGUGAAGAACUACCGCUCGCUGAUCGCGAGCACGUGACGUGUGCAGGCGGCCGGAAUUCAGGUUUGAUGGGCGACUUGGUACAAGAGUAGUAGUAGCUCAAGCUAGCUUGGUGGUAGUAUUAGCUUAAUCUCGUGGAAUAGUUGUUUGUGAACUUGUGAUCGCAUAUCGUCUGUCGAGACGUCCAUUGUCAUCACGCACCAAGAACUAGCGAGUUCAAGCUCUAUAUGGCUUGCGAUUGGGGUUUGUUAACACGAUGCAUGCAAUUGCAACCGUCGCCCAUGAAUACUGUGUCUCAUGCACCUUUUCUUUCACUAGCAAGCGUUAUAAGUUUAAAAUUUCAUCACGAACACUGAGCAACCCCAACAGACUAUUUAUUUUUUACUCUCAUUCAAGUUGGUAAAA
rnacentral:lncRNA from 1 species